rfam:Oryza sativa (indica cultivar-group) chromosome 1, whole genome shotgun sequence.
AAAAAGACAAACCUGAUUUCCGUGUCUAAUAUUUAACCGUCCGUCUUAUUUAAAAAAAUUACGAAAAAAAUUAAAAAGACAAGUCGCGUACAAAGUAUUAAUCAUAUUUUAUCAUCUAACAUCAAUAAAAAUAUGAAUUAUAAAAAAAUUUCAUAUAAGACGGACAGUCAAAAUUGGACACGGAAAUCUAGGGUUUGUCUUUUU